CCUACGGGUGGCAGCAGUGGGGGAUAUUGCACAAUGGGGGAAACCCUGAUGCAGCAACGCCGCGUGAGUGAAGACGUAUUUCUGUAUGUAAAGCUCUAUCAGCAGGGGAGAAAAUGACGGUACCUGAUUAAGAAACCCCCGCUAACUAAGGUCCCGGCAGCGAGGUGAAACGGAGGGGGCACGCGUUAGCCGGGUAUACUGGGGUGAAAGGGGACGCAGACGGAGAUGUAAGGCUGGAGUGAAAGCCCAGGGCCCAACCCCGGAGCCGCUCUGGAAACUGUGCGUCUAGAGUACAGGAGGGGCAGGCGGAAUUCCUAGUGUAGCGGUGAAAUGCGUAGAUAUUAGGAGGAACACCAGUGGCGAAGGCGGCCUGCUGGACAGUAACUGACGUUGAGGCUCGAAAGUGUGGGGAGCAAACAGGAUUAGAUACCCUAGUAGUC
rnacentral:rRNA from 1 species